GAUGAAGAACGUAGCGAAAUGCGAUAAGUAAUGUGAAUUGCAGAAUUCAGUGAAUCAUCGAAUCUUUGAACGCACAUUGCGCCCACCAGUAUUCUGGCGGGCAUGCCUGUUCGAGCGUCAUUACAACCCUCAGGCCCCCGGGCCUGGCGUUGGGGAUCGGCGGAGCCCCCCGUGGGCACACGCCGUCCCCCAAAUGCAGUGGCGGUCCCGCCGCAGCUUCCAUCGCGUAGUAGCUAACACCUCGCGACUGGAGAGCGGCGCGGCCACGCCGUAAAACACCCAACUCUUCUGAAGUUGACCUCGAAUCAGGUAGGAAUACCCGCUGAACUUAAGCAUAUCAAUAAGCGGAGGA
rnacentral:misc_RNA from 1 species